GUAGGGACCACACGUUUCUCCUUAUUCCAUAUGUAGCUCUAUGAGCAAACUAGUGCAGAGCUAAUUUAUACCCAUAAUAACUCACACCUUUUUUUUCCUUUCUUGCUCUCCAAAGCUCAUAGAGCUACAUAUAUGUAGCUCCUUAUUCCUUUCGUCUCCGGUGAUCCGGUCGGAUUUCAUUUGAGGUCUUGUUCGCAGUUUUGUCGGUGUCUAAGUUUCAAAGUCAUCGAUGAAUCAAAGUCCAAAUUCACUUUUAAGAUUUUGAUCAUUUGGAGGUCGAGGAUAGAGGAAAAGGCAUUUGAAAGGUUGAAGCCUAAUCUAGAGAAGGUACUGAGACAUGUACUAUCAAUGGUCAUACGGGCGCGUAGCUGCAUUUCCACAGAGACUUAGUGGUGAGCUGCUUGCCUUGCUUCGAUCUGCAGCAGCGGAGCCUCCCUCUACUUUGUUUAUUAUUUCUGUCUAUUAUACUUCAGACAAUAGUUGUAUUAGUUUUGUAUAAAUCUCUAGAUUGCUCAUACACUUGUGGCACCGAGUUUUGGGGGCUUCUAGCAUUUAUGUACUGUGGUACUUAUUAUUACUAUCACUAUGUUUUAUA